rnacentral:rRNA from 1 species
AGCAGCCGCGGUAAUUCCAGCUCCAAUAGCGUAUAUUAAAGUUGUUGCAGUUAAAAAGCUCGUAGUUGAAUUUCGGGACCAAGUUGUCGGUCGUGCCUCGGUACGCACUGGUGACAUUGGUUUCUCCCUUCUGAAGAACCUUGAUGUCAUUAAUUUGGUGUCUUGGGAAAUCAGGACUGUUACUUUGAAAAAAUUAGAGUGUUUAAAGCAGGCUUACGCUUGAAUACAUUAGCAUGGAAUAAUGAAAUAGGACGUUUGAUUCUAUUUUGUUGGUUUCUAGGAUCGACGUAAUGAUUAAUAGGGAUAGUUGGGGGCAUUAGUAUUCAAUUGUCAGAGGUGAAAUUCUUGGAUUUAUUGAAGACUAACUACUGCGAAAGCAUUUGCCAAGGAUGUUUUCAUUAAUCAAGAACGAAAGUUAGGGGAUCGAAGACGAUCAGAUACCGUCGUAGUCUUAACCAUAAACUAUGCCGACUAGGGAUCGGAUGAUGUUAAUUUUUUAAUGACUCAUUCGGCGCCUUAC